rnacentral:rRNA from 1 species
UACGAAGGGGGCUAGCGUUACUCGGAUUGACUGGGCGUAAAGGGCGCGUAGGCGGCUUGUACAGUCAGACGUGAAAUUCCUGGGCUCAACCUGGGGGCUGCGUUUGAUACGUAUGGGCUUGAGUUCGGAAGAGGGUCGUGGAAUUCCCAGUGUAGAGGUGAAAUGCGCAGAUAUCAGGAGGAACACCGAUGGCGAAGGCAGAUCUCUGGGCCGUAACUGACGCUGAGGAGCGAAAGCGUGGGUAGCGAACAGG